UUGCAUCUUGACACCAAAUACAGGAUUUUUGCCACAGCUACAGAGCUAGUUGGAUUCAAGCUGAUGUCAAAAAGUCACCAGGAAGGAAAAUAAAGCUUGAACAAUACUGGUGAGCCUUUGAAUUAUAAGAAGAGAAUAUAAGGAUAAACUUACUCUUCCUGCUGUCAC